rnacentral:rRNA from 1 species
AACGAACGCUGGCGGCAUGCUUAACACAUGCAAGUCGAACGCCCCGCAAGGGGAGUGGCAGACGGGUGAGUAACGCGUGGGAAUCUACCCAUCCCUACGGAAUAACGCAUGGAAACGUGUGCUAAUACCGUAUACGCCCUACGGGGGAAAGAUUUAUCGGGGAUGAAUGUGCCCGCGUUGGAUUAGCUAGUUGGUGGGGUAAAGGCCUACCAAGGCGACGAUCCAUAGCUGGUCUGAGAGGAUGAUCAGCCACAUUGGGACUGAGACACGGCCCAAACUCCUACGGGAGGCAGCAGUGGGGAAUAUUGGACAAUGGGCGCAAGCCUGAUCCAGCCAUGCCGCGUGAGUGAUGAAGGCCUUAGGGUUGUAAAGCUCUUUCACCGGAGAAGAUAAUGACGGUAUCCGGAGAAGAAGCCCCGGCUAACUUCGUG